rnacentral:misc_RNA from 1 species
CAACCCUCGAGCCCCCCCGGGGGGUCGGCGUUGGGGAUCGGCCCCGUCAGCGGGCCGGCCCCGAAAUGCAGUGGCGGUCUCGCCGCAGCCUCCCCUGCGCAGUAGCUUGCACACUCGCACCGGGAGCGCGGCGCGUCCAAUGCCGUGAAACACCCCAACUCUCUGGAACG